UGGGGAAUAUUGGACAAUGGGCGAAAGCCUGAUCCAGCCAUGCCGCGUGUGUGAAGAAGGUCUUCGGAUUGUAAAGCACUUUAAGUUGGGAGGAAGGGCAGUAACCUAAUACGUUGCUGUCUUGACGUUACCGACAGAAUAAGCACCGGCUAACUCUGUGCCAGCAGCCGCGGUAAUACAGAGGGUGCAAGCGUUAAUCGGAAUUACUGGGCGUAAAGCGCGCGUAGGUGGUUUGUUAAGUUGGAUGUGAAAUCCCCGGGCUCAACCUGGGAACUGCAUUCAAAACUGACAAGCUAGAGUAUGGUAGAGGGUGGUGGAAUUUCCUGUGUAGCGGUGAAAUGCGUAGAUAUAGGAAGGAACACCAGCGGCGAAGGCGACCACCUGGACUGAUACUGACACUGAGGUGCGAAAGCGUGGGGAGCAAACAGGAUUAGAUACCCCUGUAGUCCCUGAGCGGGCUGGCAAGGCGCAU
rnacentral:rRNA from 1 species